AUCAAUCUUAAGAAUGGUGAAAUUUUAAAUUGAAUAUUUUAAUUCAAUAUAUUUAUACACUAUAUUACUAAUUUAUGACCUUUUGUUCAACCAAUUAUCAACAAGACAUUUAAAAUUAUCAAGCCAAAAACCUGAUAUAGAAUUAUCCUUGAAAUUGGAUAAAAAAAUAAUAAUAAUAAUUAUCCUAGAAAUUUGACAUAUAUGAUCCCAACUAAGGGUGCACAAAGUUUUCAAACCCCUUCUCCUUACGCAAGCCAAGUGUCCAUCUUCUCAUAUCCCAAACCCAGGGUUUAUGCGCAGUCCCGAAGAACUGAAAUGAAGACCAUACAUAUCGAAGGGUUCGAUUCCUAAUUUCCUUGAUAGGAAAUAGAGAGAGAAAAGUGUGUGUUUUCUCUCUCCAAACAAACCCUCUAUUAUCACCAUGUGAUCUUGUUUUCCCUUUUUUAUUUCUCACUCUUCAGGAAGACACUACCGAUCACUGGUUCGAGCCCUAGGCGUCGACACUUCGCCACUUCAACAGAAGAGUAUGCCAAGAAAAAUGACGCUAACAAUGAUUCAGAGUACAACACCGUCAUUACCUCUCACUUCGAAUGUCUCUCCAUUUUCUCAAUACUACUCAUAUAUAUAUAUGUGUGUGUAUAUGUAUAAAUUGAUAUUCAUCUACAUUGUGUGUAUGUAGAUGUGUGUAUAUAUCUGUGUAUGUAUAAAUUCAUAUUAAUCUACACGUGUGUGUGUGUGUGUGUGUGUGUGCUUCCGUGUCUUUUGCAGACAUUAUUUUUAGAGGGAUGUGUAUGAUUUAGAAACAUGAUCCUGCUUUGUCUAAGGUCUUAAUUUUUGUGUGACCAAACUAGCAUUUGUUUCUUUAUUAUGUCAGCCCAUAUUAUUAGAUACUAGAAAUUCAUGUGUAGUGGUCUUACUAAUUUCAGGUUAGUUUUGUUUAAAUAUAAAAUUGCAUUUUGGGAGCAGAAUCAUAUUUAAUUGGGUGUGACAUGAGCUAGUUUUUCAUGGUAAUUGUUCUUAACAUUUAUCUCAAGCUUCCCUUCCCAACCCAAAAAAGAGAAAAAAACUAGAAAAAUGAGAGGAAUGCAAAUCCAAGUUCUGGUGAUUAUUAAUAUCCAUUUCCAAAGCAUGCUCCCUGCAAUUCAAGAGAGUCGAUUAUCUAAAUUUUACCUCUAAUGUGGGAAAGAAAUCCAAACUCUUGAUCUCAAAUGUAGUCUAGUGCAACUAUAAAAUAAUCCAUUCUUUAAUCAUUACUGUUGUUUUAAAUUGGUCAUAUAUAUCUUCAAUUAAUGUCACACAGCUGGGUCUGUAAGUUACUCAUUUUUAUUUGAAUUACCUGCUUUAGCAAGUCUUGUGACCGUGAAUUGAAGCAUUACUUAUCUACUUUAUAGGUUGCUUUAUAUAACUUCUUGAUCUCGUUCUAUAGCUAGAAUAAUAAAAUAACCUCCCUUCAAUAUUUAGGUAUGCUAUUGUUCAUAAUAAAAUAACCUCCCUUCAAUAAUCGUUUUCCCGAAAAAGAUUACCGAGCUUGUUGAGCAGGUCCAAGGGGUGGUCAUCACUUGAAGCAUCAAGAGACAAAGCAUGGCAGAUUACUGAGUAAAGAGUUAACAGUUCAUCACGUUGCAAUUCAUGCAUGUGCUGACCUUUGGAAUGUAGAGGGGAUAGGCAAUGGAAACACUUUUGGAGAUGCUUAAAAAGGAGAUGCUAAAACUCUUGAUGUCUUUAUUGUGAUGCAAACUGUGAGGUGCUGCAACGCAGGCAGGGGAUCACUUCUGGUGGACUAACAAUCAAGCAAUUAAAUGACUUGCUUGAUCGCUUGGCUUCAACUGAAAAUAGUUGAGCCCCUUGUUGAACAGUAUGCCGUUGACGCUGUUCUCCUUCAAGAUCCCGCCAGCAUGUGUCCGAACUCGUCAAGAUCCCAGUAUGUACGUGCUUGAACUCAUCGUCUCUGAGCUUCCGGGGGAACGCUGCCUUGCUCCUGAGCCUUGUGAUGGCGAUAGUCACGUUCGCCGGAGCCCCGCCGGGCACCUUCUCACACACCCAUUGGAGAAAUGUUGAUCUCCAUGCGUUUGUAGAAGAGCAAGGUUGUGGUCAAAUUAGAUGCCGAUGAAUAUAAUUCAUGUAGGCCGUGGAUCUCCCAAAGUUAUAUUGUCUGAGCCCACAGGAUCGACGGCUGAGGUGCUUCUGUAUGGCGAGCAGGUUAUUUCUUGGAAGAAUGAACAAAGAGAACUGCUUUUUACAAGCAGCAAGGUGAAUCAAUUCUUUUUACCCGAGGAAUUUAAAUUUAAUUAGAUUACAGUUAACAACCAUUUUGACAUCUAAUGCCCAGAUGGUUCGUUUUCUAUGUGCUAGAAUUCUGAAAAUGCUCAUUACCGGCCUUUUGAUUUUGAAUAACCCAUGUCUUCUCCUUAUGAAUUUUAAGAAUUGUGUUUUUUCCACUUAAGAGCUAGAAGUUGAAUCUCUAAAUUUAUUUCAUACUUUUAUUUUAUUUUAUAUAAUUUGAAUUUGACACAAGAGACCAUUGCUUUAUAUAGUAGUAAGAGCACAGGCUAGCAGACCUGAGAGUACAAGUUAAGGGCUGACACUCUCCAAUCCCGCUCAAUUAAUAUCUAAUAGAUAUUAUUUUGUUAUUCUUGCCGUAGUUCAAUUUUCACAACCUCUAUUGAGGGAAAAUAAUGUAACUAUUGCCCUCACAUAAAGCUUUUAGUUUUCGUGAGUAUUGUAAUGAAGCUAGAUUUUCCAACAUUAAUUAACAUAAUAGUAAAUAGUAUAAUGUGAUUAUUCAUUUUAAGAUAUGUAUUGUGGAUUGUAGAAUCCUUGUUAAAAUGAUGCGGAACUAUACUUAAAGAUCUUUAGAUUAUACACUCUAGACUAUCUAGUAAGUUAACUAUUAGAAAAGGGAACAUGAAUCUUCACAUGUAUAUGCAUAUUUUCUAUUUCAUGGUUUACUAAUCUUUAUGUUCCACUUUGGUACUACUUAUCAAAAAAACAUUUCUCUUUUGUAUUAAUUGAAACCCUAAUCUAAUCUUGUUUGAAGCAGCAAACCAAGUUUGCAAUUGUUUACAACUGUCCUUGUUUGAGUUACUAACACUCAGCUACUACAUAAGAGUUCUUGCUAUGUUCGACAAGCUGUUUGGAAACCACCUAAAUCCAUCAGGGGAGGUAUACCCAUCUGCUUCCCGCAGGUUGGCUGAUGACAAAAUUAACAAUAAUAUUGCUUUUGUAUUCGUAGCAUACAUAGAUAUUACGUGAAUAUUCCAGUUUGCAAAUUUUGGUUCACUGGAGCAACAUGGAUUUGCAAGGAAUAGAUUGUGGUCGCCGGACAACUGUCCUCCUUUGACUCCUGCUAAUAAUCAAUCUUAUUCUGAAGUCUACUGAAGAGUCUGAAAAUUUGGCCACAUAAGUAUGAAUUGUAUGGUAUUAUAAUAAUGUGCUAGUAUAUCAUUACUUAUUUAGACAUUAAAAAAAUAUAUACGGUGUUUUCUGCAGAUUUGAGUUGCGGCUUCAUAUUUCUCUAGUGCUGGCAAGCUCACUCUGAUUCCCGUGUGAGAAAUGUGGAUAACAAGGACUUCUCAUUCACGUUCCCACUGCGUAAUUACUUAUCUGUUUCGGAUAUCAGGUUUGCCAAGUAUUUACCUUCUUUUUUUCCCAACUGCAACGAUUAUGGUGUCAUUCUGUUCUUUUUUUUUUUUUUCCUUCUCCCCGGUAAAACCUCCCUGUCAUCGUGAUAGUAACUGAGUUUGCAAUUACCUUUGAUGAUGAGGUACCAUGUAGCAUGUACUCUGCUUUUGUUCUCAAUAUGGUGUGUUUUCACAAUUGGCAAAUUAGGAUUGAACUCGGGACCUUGGGAUUGCAUAUUAACUACCAUAGAAUAAGUUAAAGGUUCUAUAUUUUAUCUAGUUUUUAGUGAUUUGGAAUUAAGAUUUUCUUAAUAUUUGAACUUUCUCAACCAUUUUUGAAGUUGUAUUGUUUUUUGGCCUUUAGAUCGGUCGAGUGUAUUUGAGCACACCACCAAAGAUUGCAAUAAUAUACCACGAGAAGAAGAGAACCUUUGUACUGAAGGCAUGCCUGAUGCAGGUUUAUAUUGUUAUACUUGUAUUAGAGCUCCGUUAUUGUCACAAGCUUCAUUUGUAUUCCUGAUGCAGGUUUACGUUGUUAUACUCGUUUUAGAGCUCUUUUGUUGUCAGUCUCGAUUUCUCUUUCUUGCUUGCUCAUACGUGAAUUUCAUGUGGUGGAUGUACAAUUUUAUGGAAUCCCUGGGACAAAAAGGCCAAGGCUCUCCCAGAUUUGGGCGAUGAAGAUUACAAAACUAUGUUAAUGGAAGAGCCAUCAAGAGCUCACUACUUUGCAAUGGGCAGCUGGACCCUCGCAAUGUUCUCGGCUUUUGCUGAUCUCUUGCAUGAAUUAAAUAAAUGGGGUUCUGUAAUUUUAGAACAGUCUAAUUUAGUGUACAACAUACAUGCACUUGCUCGACUGCAUAUAAGCAUUGUUGUGUCCAGCUGAACGUAAUAUAUAGCAAUAAGCAUCCUAGAGUCACAGGCUUAUCAAUGAGAACAUCCUCAUCUUGCCUUUUGUAACAGUGAGGCACGCACGGUUGGUACCAAAUGUGACUUGAUCAACUGCCUCUUUGUAAUUGUGACGAUUGCCUCUUUAUUUUUUGAAUCGUAAAAUUGUUGAA